UGGGGAAUAUUGGACAAUGGGCGAAAGCCUGAUCCAGCCAUGCCGCGUGAGUGAUGAAGGCCCUAGGGUUGUAAAGCUCUUUUAACGGGGAAGAUAAUGACGGUACCCGUAGAAUAAGCCCCGGCUAACUUCGUGCCAGCAGCCGCGGUAAUACGAAGGGGGCUAGCGUUGCUCGGAAUCACUGGGCGUAAAGGGUGCGUAGGCGGAUCUUUAAGUCAGAGGUGAAAGCCUGGAGCUCAACUCCAGAACUGCCUUUGAUACUGAGGAUCUCGAGUUCGGGAGAGGUGAGUGGAACUGCGAGUGUAGAGGUGAAAUUCGUAGAUAUUCGCAAGAACACCCGUGGCGAAGGCGGCUCACUGGCCCGAUACUGACGCUGAGGCACGAAAGCGUGGGGAGCAAACA
rnacentral:rRNA from 1 species